rnacentral:rRNA from 1 species
CCUGAUGCAGCGACGCCGCGUGAGGGAUGACGGCCUUCGGGUUGUAAACCUCUUUCAGCAGGGACGAAGCGAGAGUGACGGUACCUGCAGAAGAAGCGCCGGCCAACUACGUGCCAGCAGCCGCGGUAAGACGUAGGGCGCGAGCGUUGUCCGGAUUUAUUGGGCGUAAAGAGCUCGUAGGCGGCUUGUCGCGUCGAAUGUGAAAACUCGGGGCUCAACUCCGAGCUUGCAUUCGAUACGGGCAGGCUAGAGUUCGGUAGGGGAGACUGGAAUUCCUGGUGUAGCGGUGAAAUGCGCAGAUAUCAGGAGGAACACCGGUGGCGAAGGCGGGUCUCUGGGCCGAUACUGACGCUGAGGAGCGAAAGCGUGGGGAGCGAACAGGAUUAGAUACCCUGGUAGUCCACGCUGUAAACGUUGGGCGCUAGGUGUGGGGACCCUCUCCGGGUUUCUGCGCCGCAGCUAACGCAUUAAGCGCCCCGCCUGGGGAGUACGGCCGCAAGGCUAAAACUCAAAGGAAUUGACGGGGGCCCGCACAAGCGGCGGAGCAUGCGGAUUAAUUCGAUGCAACGCGAAGAACCUUACCUGGGUUUGACAUCGCCGGAAAACUCGUAGAGAUACGGGGUCCUUCGGGGCC